rnacentral:rRNA from 1 species
CCCUUAGAUGUUCUGGGCCGCACGCGCGCUACACUGAUGCAUUCAACGAGUUCCUACCUUGGCCGAGAGGCCUGGGCAAUCUUUUGAACUUGCAUCGUGAUAGGGAUAGAUUAUUGCAAUUAUUAAUCUUGAACGAGGAGUUCCUAGUAAACGCAGAUCAUCAAUCUGCAUUGAUUACGUCCCUGCCCUUUGUACACACCGCCCGUCGCACCUACCGAUUGAAUGGUCCGGUGAAGCCUCGGGAUUGUGGUUAGUUUCCUUCAUUGGAAGUUAGCCGCGAGAACUUGUCUAAACCUUAUCAUUUAGAGGAAGGUGAAGUCGUAACA